rnacentral:rRNA from 2 species
UUAAAUUCAGCGGGUCCUCUCGUCUGAUCUGAGGUCG